UUCGGGAUGAUGGCGAGUGGCGAACGGGUGCGUAACACGUGGAAACUUAUCCAGAGGCGGGGGACAACAGCUGGAAACGGCUGCUAAUACCGCAUAAUCCCUACGGGGCAAAGAUUCAUCACCUUUGGAGAGGUCCGCGUCGGAUUAGCUAGUUGGUGGGGUAACGGCUCACCAAGGCGACGAUCCGUAGCUGGUCUUAGAGGACGAUCAGCCACACUGGGACUGAGACACGGCCCAGACUCCUACGGGAGGCAGCAGUGGGGAAUAUUGCGCAAUGGGGGCAACCCUGACGCAGCGAUGCCGCGUGAGUGAAGAAGGCCUUCGGGUUGUAAAGCUCUUUCAGUGGGGACGAUUGUGACGGUACCCACAGAAGAAGCUCCGGCUAACUCCGUGCCAGCAGCCGCGGUAAUACGGAGGGGGCGAGCGUUGUUCGGAAUUACUGGGCGUAAAGGGCGCGUAGGCGGUUUGACAAG
rnacentral:rRNA from 1 species